AGUGAACGCUGGCGGUAGGCCUAACACAUGCAAGUCGAACGGCAGCACAGUAAGAGCUUGCUCUUACGGGUGGCGAGUGGCGGACGGGUGGGGAAUACAUCGGAAUCUACUUUUUCGUGGGGGAUAACGUAGGGAAACUUACGCUAAUACCGCAUACGACCUACGGGUGAAAGCAGGGGAUCUUCGGACCUUGCGCGAUUGAAUGAGCCGAUGUCGGAUUAGCUAGUUGGCGGGGUAAAGGCCCACCAAGGCGACGAUCCGUAGCUGGUCUGAGAGGAUGAUCAGCCACACUGGAACUGAGACACGGUCCAGACUCCUACGGGAGGCAGCAGUGGGGAAUAUUGGACAAUGGGCGCAAGCCUGAUCCAGCCAUACCGCGUGGGUGAAGAAGGCCUUCGGGUUGUAAAGCCCUUUUGUUGGGAAAGAAAAGCAGCAGGUUAAUACCCCGCUGUUCUGACGGUACCCAAAGAAUAAGCACCGGCUAACUUCGUC
rnacentral:rRNA from 1 species